AGUGAACGCUGGCGGUAGGCCUAACACAUGCAAGUCGAACGGCAGCACAGUAAGAGCUUGCUCUUACGGGUGGCGAGUGGCGGACGGGUGAGGAAUACAUCGGAAUCUACUUUUUCGUGGGGGAUAACGUAGGGAAACUUACGCUAAUACCGCAUACGACCUACGGGUGAAAGCAGGGGAUCUUCGGACCUUGCGCGAUUGAAUGGGCCGAUGUCGGAUUAGCUAGUUGGCGGGGUAAAGGCCCACCAAGGCGACGAUCCGUAGCUGGUCUGAGAGGAUGAUCAGCCACACUGGAACUGGGACACGGUCCAGACUCCUGCGGGAGGCAGCAGUGGGGAAUAUUGGACAAUGGGCGCAAGCCUGAUCCAGCCAUACCGCGUGGGUGAAGAAGGCCUUCGGGUUGUAAAGCCCUUUUGUUGGGAAAGAAAAGCAGCAGGUUAAUACCCCGCUGUUCUGACGGUACCCAAAGAAUAAGCACCGGCUAACUUCGUG
rnacentral:rRNA from 1 species